AAGUCAGUGUUUCAGCUGUUUUACAAAUCAACCCAUAUAAUUGUUUACUAAAAUAUUUCUUCAUUGCUCCUGUAACAAUAAAACUUAAUAAAUCUGUUGUGUUUUUAUUAGACCUUUAUAUCAGUGUUUUCAGAGUCCAGGUGUCAUUUAUUAGAGAAACUCAACAUCUGCUUUAUUAUAAAUACAUUUUCUUUCUAGUUUGCUUUUUUUCUUUUAAAAAAAAGUAUACCCACCUAAAUUAAAAAAAUAAAAAACAAACAUUAUGUCUUGACUGUCUGGUUGUUGAUUCUCAGUUGUCUAAAGUAGGUUUGAUUCAUUUUUCAUCAGGAUGUUUUAAGAGGUUAUGAAGAGCUUUAAAAACCCAACCUACUGCAGAGAUGAGAUAUUAUCCCACUUUCUCAGUCAGGAGAACAUCUGAUUGGCUGCUGGUUCUCUCUUCUUUUUUCUUAAGCAUUUGGAGGAUAGAACAAAUUAUUAUGGUGGUAUUUGCAAUGUAUGUAGUGGACAGUUUAUUGAAGAUCUUAACUGUAAUGUGCCAGGUCUCUGGCAACUCUACUGUUGCCUUUAAUCAUAGCCUUACCCAGUCAACUGUGUGGCUGUUUGGCGCCAGCAAUAUUUCUAAGUUGCGUCCUAUUUUUCUGCUUGGCUUUGAAAAUUGUAAUAUGUGUUGUUCAGAAUAGAGCACAUUAAUCUGGGUUUUCAGUCUUUUUUUCCCCUUCAUGUUAUUAGGAGAAGGAGAACCACAAAAAGAUAUUUGCUGUUAAUUGAACUAACUUUUUUUUUGUUUUCGUUCAUUUAUUUUUCUCUCCACAGAAGCUGCACCUGAUGAGGCAUUCAGUUUCGGCUGUGGGGCCGUACUGGAAGAGGACAUUGGUUGAGAUAAUGCUGUCAUCAGCAAAUCCUUCUUCAUAUUCUGCUCUUAACUUUUUAUGAACAUCAAAAAUAAUCCAACAUCAGUUCUACUUUUUUUGUUUGUUUGUUUUUUCGGGUGUGUGUGUAUCUGCUCCAAUCCCCAGUCGGUCGUCAUCGCUUGUAUUGAGCCGGGUUCUGCUGGAGGUGUCUUCCAGUUUAAGGAGAGUUUUUCCAUUCCACUGUCACCACUUGCAUGACGGACCACUUUAAAGUCAACAACUCAAUGCGAGCGGUUUCCUGCUGUUGCUACGUGCUCAUCCAGGAGGAGUGAAUGAUAAAAAUCAAUAACUCAAUAGCAUCUGCCAAAUUAACCUUGCUGUAUUGUUUAACUAAGAUCAAUUGAAAUGUAUCUGUGAUAGAACUGAAAUGAUUAAUGUACUUUUUGUGUUGCAGAUGCUGCCAUAUCACAGUGCAAUUGGAGCUAUCUGAACAUUGCACUGAUCAGAUGGAAAUAACGAAAUGAGUUGGUCCUUUCUGAUCAAACAAAAACAUAAAUUUCUUCUUUUUGUAAGCAGAACAAGCAAUGUAAAACAGGCCACUAGCAAUAUACUGCUAAAAUCGGAGUCUGUAGCAUAUUUUAUGUCACAUGGCUGCAGGUGGGAUGGGAACUCGGGUGCCAACACUGCAGCUUGAGAGAAUAAGGUGAUGCCUGUGCCUGGCGGGUUUUGUCUCUCCAAAGACAAAAACUAAAGCUGUUUGAGAAUAUUUCUAAUUGUUUCACACCAAAGAAAAAAACUGCUGCGCUCUUCAGUUAAGUUUGAUUCUAUAAUUGAAGAUGCUGCAUCCAUCCAUCGACUUACCCAAUGCUGGAGCCCUUCAUCAUGUCGCUGAUGGAUCCGCUACCAACAUCAAUAAUCUAUCUACAAAUCAAUGUCACAGACGUUUGCCAUAUAGAAUAUUUUUUAAUGUUUUCUCAUGUUGAAAAACCUAAGGUUUGUGCUAACCAUAAUAUGUACACAACCCACAACCCUGUGCAUGUUUUGUUCUAACUCUGAGCAUGCGUAUGUGUUAAUAUCUAAAUUAAGUCACCAAGAAACCAGGCCAUACAUGUCAAAAUGAACUGCAGAAUAGCAUGGUGCCUCUCAACUUUGCUGUGAUAAUAAUAUCAAGUCUUUUUUAGCAAUUACAUUGACUGCUUUGAGUGUGGUAAGUACCAGAAUAGCAGUGGUUGUCAAAUUUGCUACUUAAGGUAUUAAUGAGCAGUGACUCUUUUCUCCAAGAUAAGUGCUCAACCAUAGUUACAACUUAAAUGUUUAAGCACAUGUACACAAAAAUGCUCCCCACUUUUUGUGAACGUAAGUGGGAAAACAAAAGGUAAUUUGUUGUUUAGGAAUGGUGCAGUAUGAGCAUACUUCAGCCAGGGAUAGAACUUUAAAUUUUUCCAGGGGAAAGAAACUUAAUGAACAAAACUAUCCUAACUUGGAUAGCGCAGUCGAUUACAUACAUAUGUACCUUAGUACCUAAAAAUACUAGGUUAAAGUCCUGUUUCCGACAGACACCGACCUUUAAAAGUUGGAGUUCUCCCAACUUUUUUGUAAACAGGA